UACAGAGGGGGCAAGCGUUAUUCGGAAUUAUUGGGCGUAAAGGGCGCGUAGGCGGCCUUGCAAGUGACGGGUGAAAUCCCUCGGCUUAACCGAGGAACUGCCUGUCAGACUGCAUGGCUUGAGACCGGGAGAGGUGAGUGGAAUUCCCAGUGUAGCGGUGAAAUGCGUAGAUAUUGGGAGGAACACCAGUGGUGAAGGCGGCUCACUGGACCGGUACUGACGCUGAGACGCGAAAGCGUGGGGAGCGAACAGG
rnacentral:rRNA from 1 species